AAAUUGAAGAGUUUGAUCAUGGCUCAGAUUGAACGCUGGCGGCAGGCCUAACACAUGCAAGUCGAACGGUAGCACAGAGGAGCUUGCUCCUUGGGUGACGAGUGGCGGACGGGUGAGUAAUGUCUGGGAAACUGCCCGAUGGAGGGGGAUAACUACUGGAAACGGUAGCUAAUACCGCAUAACGUCGCAAGACCAAAGAGGGGGACCUUCGGGCCUCUUGCCAUCGGAUGUGCCCAGAUGGGAUUAGCUAGUAGGUGGGGUAACGGCUCACCUAGGCGACGAUCCCUAGCUGGUCUGAGAGGAUGACCAGCCACACUGGAACUGAGACACGGUCCAGACUCCUACGGGAGGCAGCAGUGGGGAAUAUUGCACAAUGGGCGCAAGCCUGAUGCAGCCAUGCCGCGUGUAUGAAGAAGGCCUUCGGGUUG
rnacentral:ncRNA from 1 species